GACAGAGGGUGCGAACGUUGUUCGGAAUUACUGGGCGUAAAGCGCGUGUAGGCGGCUUGGCAAGUCGGAUGUGAAAGCCCAGGGCUCAACCCUGGAAGUGCACUCGAAACUGCCGAGCUGGAGUCCCGGAGAGGAAGGCGGAAUUCUCGGUGUAGAGGUGAAAUUCGUAGAUAUCGAGAGGAACACCUGUGGCGAAGGCGGCCUUCUGGACGGUGACUGACGCUGAGACGCGAAAGCGUGGGGAGCAAACAGG
rnacentral:rRNA from 1 species